rnacentral:rRNA from 1 species
AUUGAACGCUGGCGGCAGGCCUAACACAUGCAAGUCGAGCGAGCGGCGGACGGGUGAGUAAUGUCUGGGAAACUGUCUGAUGGAGAGGGAUAACUACUGGAAACGGUAGCUAAUACCGCAUACCAUCAGAUGUGCCCAGAUGGGAUUAGCUAGUUGGUGGGGUAACGGCUCACCUAGGCGACGAUCCCUAGCUGGUCUGUGAGGAUGACCAGCCACACGGGAACUGAGGCACGGUCCAGACUCCUACGGGAGGCAGCAGUGGGGAAUAUUGCACAAUGGGCGCAAGCCUGAUGCAGCCAUGCCGCGUGUAUGAAGAAGGCCUUCGGGUUGUAAAGCACUUUCAGCGGGGAGGCGUUACCCGCAGAAGAAGCACCGGCUAACUCCGUGCCAGCCGCCGCGGUAAUUC